AACAGAAACCUGAAAAGAAAAUUCCUUUGCAUUAAGUGCUAUUUCACUGUGUGACAAUCAAUUUUUGAAGAAGUGGCUUCGUUGUGGAAAUGAUGUUAUUGCAGGCACCUAGAAUUUUAUCUCCUUCACUUCUACAAUGGGAAGCAAUUCUCCAACAAGCACAGGAAUCUGACUUUCUGAUAUUGAGACUCCUAGGCAUCAAGCCCCGUGGAAGGACGUCCACACGGAAGUUGUCCAGGCGGCUCUGGCCAAACCCAAAGAGCAGAAGAUGGCCGGUGCCUAUGCCUUCCAAACGCAGGUCCCUGGUCGUGCAGACCUCCAUGGACGCCUACACCCCUCCAGGUAAAAAGCUGAGCAAACUGAAAAAUCAGCAGUUCUUCUUAAACCUGCACGAGACCUGA
rnacentral:lncRNA from 10 species